CUACGGGAGGCUCCAGUGAGGAAUAUUGCACAAUGGGGGGAACCCUGAUGCAGCAACGCCGCGUGGAGGAUGACGCAUUUCGGUGUGUAAACUCCUUUUAUAUGUCAAGAAAAUGACGGUAGCAUAUGAAUAAGCACCGGCUAACUCCGUGCCAGCAGCCGCGGUAGUACGGAGGGUGCAAGCGUUACUCGGAAUUACUGGGCGUAAAGGACGCGUAGGCGGGUUGGAAAGUCAGGUGUGAAAUCCUACAGCUUAACUGUAGAACUGCACUUGAAACUUCUAAUCUAGAGUAUGGGAGGGGGAGAUGGAAUUAGUGGUGUAGGGGUAAAAUCCGUAGAUAUCACUAGGAAUACCUAAAGCGAAGGCGAUCUCCUGGAACAUUACUGACGCUAAGGCGUGAAAGCGUGGGGAGCAAACAGGAUUAGAUACCCCCGUAGUC
rnacentral:rRNA from 1 species